rnacentral:pre_miRNA from 4 species
UCUUAUGGAUGAGCAAAAAAGUGGUUUCUUGAGAUAGAAUCCACUGCUGGUGAAGAUGCUGUAAC